rnacentral:rRNA from 1 species
UACGUAGGGUGCAAGCAUUAAUCGGAUUCAUUGGGCGUAAAGGGUGCGUAGGCGGCGUGGUAAGUCGGGUGUGAAAUCUCGGAGCUUAACUCCGAAACUGCAUUCGAUACUGCCGUGCUUGAGGACUGGAGAGGAGACUGGAAUUUACGGUGUAGCGGUGAAAUGCGUAGAUAUCGUAAGGAAGACCAGUGGCGAAGGCGGGUCUCUGGACAGUUCCUGACGCUGAGGCACGAAGGCCAGGGGAGCAAACGGG